GACUGACUGAGUGGUGUGGAUUUGUUUUGCGCUGAUUACUGGGAAAGGAUUUGUAAAAGGAGAUUCCAGAAAUCUGCCAUUUGUAGAUUCCUGCGUGGUUCUUCACUGGCAGUGAAAAAUAUGUUAGAGUGGAGAUGAAGGGAGUGAAGGCCACAUGGUCUUCUGUUUCUUUCAGGGCUGGUGGAAUCUGCCUCCAGGAAAUGAGAAAUCUCUUGAAAAUAAAGGCCAACCAUUACUACACUUGAAUCAUUUAUGUUGCUGAGGUAAAUAGGGAAACGGGCUCAAUCACAUAGGCUUUAGCUCCCUAGCUGUGACAGUGGGCCCUUCCUUCUUUCUUACUGACAGUGGCCCCUUCCUUCAUUUUACUUUAGAACUGCUAGCCUCAGUGCUCCUAUUUGGCUUUUACAUCCCUUGUGUACAACAUAAGCAGAAGGGGCUGUUAAAUUCUUUGUAAGGGCAGAGGGCCCAAGACCUUUAGGCAUGGUGGACAGACAUCCAACUGGUGCAACUUUAUCAACUAUAUGAGGGUGGUAAAAUGAAGGAAGAGGCCACUGUCGUAUAGAAGUAGCAACAGUAACACUGCGAAGCAUUUGAGGCUUAUGUGACAGAGCAGGCUCAGUCCACCUCAAAGACAUGAGUUAAAAAUCACUGAAACGUAAUAAUGGUUGCCCUUUAUUUUUUAAAAAAAAAUCUCUUUCCUGGGAGCAGGGUGGAAGGGCAGAUUUCACCAGCCCUGACAAAAAUUCUUCUCAGCUGUUAAUAGGGCCAAAGGCAAAAAGAGCAGGGAAAAGAAAAGGUGUUCAGUGGGAAAUCCUUUGUUGUUUGUGUGCCAAGACCAUUUCAACGAGCAACUGUUUGGAAAAGUGGGGGCGGGGGAGAAGAGUUUCACAGCAGCAGAGAGGAGGGGAGUGAAGACCACAAGGUGUCAGCUUACCGCAAGGAAUUGUGACUCUCCACCAUCAGUUGUCCAAAUCUCUCGUACUCCCUGGACUGCAGUGCCUCAGCUGCCCGGGUAGUGCGUUCUAUCUCCCCAAUGGCAUGCCUGGCUCUCUUGUAUACCUCUCCACUCAUUAGGGACUUGGAAGCUGUCAAAACAAAAGCAACAUUCAGUCAGGCAAAAGGUUUCGAUGAAAGGGGAGAAUAGCGUCACACUGAAAAUGAGAAGAACUGGUUCGCGGUUAUGCACUUAGCAGUGGUGAGAAGUUGCCUCCACACAAAAAUUUUAAAAUACGCUGCCAAAGAAUGUGAGGUGGCCUCAUGGGGUGAUAGUACGUGCACAUGGAUGGGGAUGGAUGGAUCAACAUUUAACUGAGCACUGGCAAGAUCUGUCUGGUUGGAAACCCACCCCAGGAGAUGUCGAAUGCUGGUAAUGGACACACUCAGAUGCCAUGGAAUGCCAUCUGUAAAAUCAAUCAUUUUCCCAAACCAGACCGACCUUGUAAUCAUCCCAGCAGGGAUGAUGAGCCAGUUGGAGAUCAUGUAUGUGAGCUGCAACCAGUCCUUCAAGCAACUAUUACAGAAGAAAUGGGCGGAGUGGAUGUAUGGGGUAAGGGAACUUGCCAUACCAGGUUGUUGGAAGAAGCCAGACCUUUCUGUUAUCGUCUGGUGGAUCAAAAGAGGCAUGGGAGGCAACAGAUCCUGCCAUUAUAUGGUGGGGGUUCAAGAAAUGUUGCAUAACAAAUGGGAUGAGAAACUCUGAAGAUGAUAGCCUUCGGGUGAUAUUUGAAUCUACUGAUUCAGAGAAGAAAUGUGAAGGUUUUGCCAAAGACAAUGGUGAUGGGAACCUCAGAGUCAUCCAGCAACGAGCUCCUGACUCCUGAGGACAAGAAGGUUUGUAAAUAAAGUUGAUAUUACCUAUUCUCUGUUUUCUACCACUACAUGCUCACUCCCUGUCACAGAAAUCAUAGAAACAUAGGAAGCUGCCGCUUAUCCAUCUAAAAUGUGUAUUAUGCAUGUGGGCGUUUUUAGAUUCAGAAAAAGACAGUACAUAAUUUGUCCAUUUGUGGAGGGAUACAAUGAAAUAAUGUAAGAAGUCAGGAAGUUGGCUGGCAGGAACCAAGCACAAGAGGAACUCUUGUGAGACUAUAUGGGGCACUUGGAUGCAAGUGCGAAAGCUGGAGGGAACAAAGUUGGUAGACGAGGUGCUUUGGGAUACAGACAGAAGUCUGAGCCCCAGUACAGUGCAGAGGGGUAGAAGUGCUUUUUACGGUUUCUCCCUUAAUUUACAUCUUUACUCUUGAGGGAUGUUGUGUUCAAAACCAGAGAUGUUCAGAUUAGAAACAACUAACUGAGGGAGUUUAACUGUAAUACCUCCAGAAGCAUGUCUAGUAUAUUUUCCAGACUGCUAACCAAUCUUGCUAAUCAUUUUGCUCUAUUAGGGUCACAAGGAAAAAUCAACUUGUGUUAAUCAUAAUGAGUCUCACAGUUGAAUUUGUAUUAAAAUGAGCAGUCUAGCAGUUUAUUUUAGUUGUGGAGAUAAAAGAGAAUCACUUUGGUCAAACCAAUGCUACAUAUGCCCACAACUCUCUAUAUCAACACUAAAAUUGUUCAUAUUCAGGAAGUAGAAACCCCGACACUUUGGGACAAAAGUAUGUAAAUUAAGCAAAAGAAACACUUCCAUAACCUUCCCUAUACAACCCAAAAACAUAAUCUGGGAUUUUGCAGGAUUUGGGGUUAUUUCUAAUAAGAACUGGGGCUGGAGAACAGAAGGGAAGAAUGGGAUAUACAGGAGAACCCUAUUUGUGGGGGUACCGUUCGGGGGGGGGCAUAGAUAGCGAAUCCACAAAUAACUGGGAAUUGAAAUGAAUGCAAAUGGGGGGUGAGGUUCGCACACUGCCCCAAAUGCCCC